UCCCUGGUAGUAUAUCGGUUUAGUACACGCGCCUGUCAUUACGACUAGGAACUGGACGCGCGAAAGCUGGGUUCGACUCCCAGCCAGGGAG